rnacentral:rRNA from 1 species
GAUGAACGCUGGCGGCGUGCCUAAUACACGCAAGUCGAGCGAACAGAUAAGGAGCUUGCUCCUUUGACGUUAGCGGCGGACGGGUGAGUAACACGUGGGUAACUUACCUAUAAGACUGGAAUAACUCCGGGAAACCGGGGCUAAUGCCGGAUAACAUGUUGAACCGCAUGGUUCUACAGUGAAAGGCGGCUUUGCUGUCACUUAUAGAUGGACCCGCGCCGUAUUAGCUAGUUGGUGAGGUAACGGCUCACCAAGGCAACGAUACGUAGCCGACCUGAGAGGGUGAUCGGCCACACUGGAACUGAGACACGGUCCAGACUCCUACGGGAGGCAGCAGUAGGGAAUCUUCCGCAAUGGGCGAAAGCCUGACGGAGCAACGCCGCGUGAGUGAUGAAGGUCUUCGGAUCGUAAAACUCUGUUAUUAGGGAAGAACAAAUGCGUAAGUAACUGUGCGCGUCUUGACGGUACCUAAUCAGAAAGCCACGGCUAACUACGUG